rnacentral:rRNA from 1 species
AACGAACGCUGGCGGCAUGCCUAACACAUGCAAGUCGAACGAGACCUUCGGGUCUAGUGGCGCACGGGUGCGUAACGCGUGGGAAUCUGCCCUUGGGUUCGGAAUAACAGUUAGAAAUGACUGCUAAUACCGAAUGUUGUCUUCGGACCAAAGAUUUAUCGCCCAGGGAUGAGCCCGCGUCGGAUUAGCUAGUUGGUGAGGUAAAGGCUCACCAAGGCGACGAUCCGUAGCUGGUCUGAGAGGAUGAUCAGCCACACUGGGACUGAGACACGGCCCAGACUCCUACGGGAGGCAGCAGUGGGGAAUAUUGGACAAUGGGCGAAAGCCUGAUCCAGCAAUGCCGCGUGAGUGAUGAAGGCCUUAGGGUUGUAAAGCUCUUUUACCCGGGAUGAUAAUGACAGUACCGGGAGAAUAAGCCCCGGCUAACUCCGUGCCAGCCGCCGCGGUAACAC